rnacentral:rRNA from 1 species
AAGUUACUUCGGUGCAUCGGUGACAGGUGGUGCAUGGUUGUCGUCAGCUCGUGUCGUGAGAUGUUGGGUUAAGUCCCGCAACGAGCGCAACCCCUAUUGUUAGUUGCCAUCAUUCAGUUGGGCACUCUAGCGAGACUGCCGGUAAUAAACCGGAGGAAGGUGGGGAUGACGUCAAAUCAUCAUGCCCCUUAUGACCUGGGCUACACACGUGCUACAAUGGUUGGUACAACGAGUUGCGAGUCGGUGACGGCGAGCUAAUCUCUUAAAGCCAAUCUCAGUUCGGAUUGUAGGCUGCAACUCGCCUACAUGAAGUCGGAAUCGCUAGUAAUCGCGGAUCAGCACGCCGCGGUGAAUACGUUCCCGGGCCUU